rnacentral:rRNA from 1 species
CCUACGGGAGGCAGCAGUGAGGAAUAUUGGUCAAUGGACGAGAGUCUGAACCAGCCAAGUAGCGUGAAGGAUGACUGCCCUAUGGGUUGUAAACUUCUUUUAUAUGGGAAUAAAAUGUUCCACGUGUGGGCUUUUGUAUGUACCAUGUGAAUAAGGAUCGGCUAACUCCGUGCCAGCAGCCGCGGUAAUACGGAGGAUCCGAGCGUUAUCCGGAUUUAUUGGGUUUAAAGGGAGCGUCGGUGGAGUGUUAAGUCAGUUGUGAAAGUGUGCGGCUCAACCGUAAAAUUGCAGUUGAAACUGGCAGUCUUGAGUACAGUAGAGGUGGGCGGAAUUCGUGGUGUAGCGGUGAAAUGCUUAGAUAUCACGAAGAACUCCGAUUGCGAAGGCAGCUCACUGGACUGCAACUGACACUGAGGCUCGAAAGUGUGGGUAUCAAACAGGAUUAGAUACCCCAGUAGUC